CCUUCCAAGAGGGGCGCCAGCAGGGGCCUCCCGCCCGGUGUCCUCAGAGCCAACGGAACGAGACUCAGCUGCUUUAAAAAGCAAAUGAGAGUCUGUCUUCGACAAACAUACGACAUGCGAGCUCCAGCUCCAGAGCGCACGCUCUCCCAACAGGCUGUGCGCGGCCCUUUGACUGGCAGCCGGGAAGGGGCGGAGUUCUCGCGAGGCUCUGGACCCGAGUCUCGCGUGCAGCGUCUGCACACGGCCCCCGCCGCCAUCUUGAUUGCGUUGGGGAACCCGGUACAGUGCUGCCCACACAGCCAGGCUGCUGAAGGGCCUGAAGUUCCAGGUGCGAGGCCUCUCCGUCGGCCCCUGCGAGCCAAUGAAACUAGACUGAGCACGGAGGAAAAGGAAAAAAAAAGAUUAGCUUUUAUUUUCUUACCUGGAUUCUAUCUUUAUUUCUCAGGAAUUGUUAAUGUGGUUUACUGGUUCAAACCUAAAUAUCACACAAUGAAGGAAAAAUACAUUAUAGUCCUGUCCUAACAGGUGGCUCAGUGAUAAAGAACCUUCCUGCCCAUGCAGAAGAGGGAAAGAGACGCAGGUUCAGCCCCCGGGUUGGAAAGAUCCCCUGGAGGAGGGCAUGGAAACCCACUCCAGUAUUCUUGCCUGGAGAAUCCCAUGGACAGAGAAGCCUGGUGGGCUACAGUCCCUGGGGUCACACAGACACGGACAUGACUGAGCAGCUGAGCACACACAGCAUACAUAAAAUAGAAAAUACAAUGUUGGCUAGCCCUAAGAACUAAGGCAUAAAGUCCCUCCAAACACACUUGCUCAUUCCCAGCCUCAAAGAAGACACCACCCUGACACCCAUGGUCACUCGCGAGAGAUGCUGAGGAGCCUCCCAAACCAGAAUCAUCUUGGAGCUUUGUCCUCUAUUCUGUAGAUGAGCCAGCAUCCGCUGUACCUCCUCAGAUCUCAUCACAGCGUCUUAGCUCCAUCUGCACCUGGGUGUGUAUUGUGUCUGUCCGUGAGCUUUCGACCCCUGGAGGCCGGACCUAUGGGCAUCACUCUCCUUCUCUUCAUGUCUCCUUAGGAUGGAGGAAGUCAACAGAGUAGCCACUGCAGGGUCCUAUGGAAACAGGCCUUAGUGGGUAAAGAGACCACCUGCAGUGCAGGAGAUACAGGAGACUCGAGUUUGAUCCCUGGGUCGGGAAGAUCCUCUGGAAAUGGAAAUGGCAACGCACUCCAGUACUCUUGCCUGGAGAACCCCAUGGGCAGAGUACCCAACCCGGUGGGCUGCAGAAUCAGGCACCACUGAGCACAGGACCUUCAUGCCUCAGGAGUCUUUGGUCAGGGAAUUCUCAGAGCACCCGCCGCAGGCCUGUCUGCCUGUGUUACCUGAUUGUAUGUGAGAUGACUGCUCUAUUGUUAUCUUGACCCUUCCAGAGGUCAGUUCCCUGAAACCAGUGUUCUGGUCUGUCCUGCCUCCAGGGCAGGACACUCCCAGAGCUUUGUACAUAGUGGGUGCCCUAAGAACGUUUGUUUAAGGCAUCCAUGAGUGAGUAUUUCCAGUAAGGCU
ensembl:lncRNA